AGGGACCUGAGUGUCUAAG
rnacentral:miRNA from 1 species